ACAAGGUAGGUUGGUCUGCCUAUGGUAUGUACUGGCUUUACUGGUUCCUCCUUCUUGAAGAUCUGUAAUGUCAUUAAUUUGGUGUUGCAGGGAGUCAGGACUGUUACUUUGAAAAAAUUAAAGUGUUUAAAGCAGGCAUACGCUUGAAUACAUUAGCAUGGAAUAAUGAAAUAGGACGUUCGAUCCUAUUUUGUUGGUUUCUAGGAUUGACGUAAUGAUUAAUACGGAUAGUUGCGG
rnacentral:rRNA from 1 species